CAGUUCGGACUGCAGGCUGCAACCCGCCUGCACGAAGUUGGAAUUGCUAGUAAUCGCGGAUCGGCAUGCCGCGGUGAAUACGUUCCCGGGCCUUGUACACACCGCCCGUCACACCAUGAGAGUUUGUAACACCCAAAGCCGGUGGGGUAACCUUUUGGAGCCAGCCGUCUAAGGUGGGACAGAUGAUUGGGGUGAAGUCGUAACAAGGUAGC
rnacentral:rRNA from 1 species